CUUUCAAGAUAUAUUAAUUCUCCUCAGUCUCUUUUAUCUUGCUUUAGAUAAUGUAAGGUCAUCCUUCUGCUAUGCAAGAGGGCCUGUUAGGUAUAGGUCCCUCUGCCCUCUCAGUCUUCUUGAGUCGCCUCUCCAAGUGGUAUCUUCAGUGUCAGCUGCAUUCACUCCUUUGAAAUCUGAUUUGUCCUGUUGGUCGUGGUGCCUAACUAUGGGCGGGCCCUUUAAUGUUAAUAUCCCGAUUGGUAAUCAUAUGUAUUUCAAGCAUGCAGCGUAACGGAACCUGUCUGAUUGUUGACAGCGACAAGUUUCCAUGGAUUCCAGAGCUCCUAUUGUUUGUUUGUUCUUAUACUGCAGGAUUCAUUAUCGACAGGUGUGAUUGAAGUGCUUAGAAAGCACUGCUGUCCCCAUGCUCCCUGAGUAAAAGGAAGACUUCUUCAAGGAGGCAUCUCCUGCCAUGUGACACAACGUGCCCUUAUGAAUCAUGGAACACUCUGCGCAUUACCCAAGGGCAAAAGACUGACCAACGGCUAAGCAGGCACAGUGCCAUCGUAACAGAUGGGCAUCCAUUGAGUAGCCAAGAAGCCAUCUUCGAGAGCCAGAGUGGCUCUGGAAAGGAAUGCACCUGGCACCGGCCACGGAGCAGAGCAGGGGGAAAAGCAGCCGUGGAACUAACUAGCUUUGCUCAAGAGCCAGCUCAGACUGGUUUGUGGCAAAUCUGCCUUUCCAAAAUUACUAAUUGUGAGCUGUCCAAGGCCUGUCAGUAACCACAACAUUUUGGCACACUGAAAUAAAAAGUCAUGAUUAAGUAACUACUAACCUUCU
rnacentral:lncRNA from 1 species